AUCAUGCAACAUGCGAUAAUAUAGCUAAUAAUAUACACAUUUUGUUGAUUAUAUUCUGUGUAUUUCGUUUAAAUACAAAAAUACGUCUAUCACAAAGAAAAAACCUGACCAUCGUUAUACGUAAGUCAACUCUGAAACUCAACUCUUGUACUGCUUGACUGAUGAGGAACAACGUGUGUUUAUCUUCCCUCCAGAGAAUAACAAAAUGUUGACUGAUUAAUAAAAUUAAGAAAAAUAUAUAAAUGAAACCUAGUACAAAAUAAUGCGCAUCCAAAAUUUGUUAAAAUAUCGGAGCAAAAUAGUCGAGGUAUUGACUUAUUCGAAUUAUAUUUAUAGUGAAGCAUUAAAUCCGUGGUAAUGGGAGGGGAGGAAAGGAACGAAAUUUAAUUCCAAUACUGGGAAGAUUGUUCCUUGGAUCAGGAGCUCUUGACCAGCAUCAGUCAACCCAUCAAGGUUUAAGGUGUGGAAGGAGCGUAAUAUACCAAAAAGAAGAUCCCUUAGCAAAUAUUUUGCUCAGUGUCUUACAUAACUUAUAAUAUGAAUGUAGACAGAAACAGAUCUUUGAACUCUGGUGGAAAAUAUAUCAAAAAUAUGUGAAAUGAGACAUGUGUAGUAUCUGGUUAUUUUAACCAGGAAAUGUUUCUCUACGAGUGGUUUGUAAAUCCUACAGUGAUAACCACAGUGAUAGAGGAGACAUGGUGAGAUGCCAGACUAGUACAGCUGUGAGCCAGGAGCUAGAGGGGUUGAACUGACUUGGAUAAAUAGGCUCGUUGCAGAACCUCAAAACUCUAUUAGAUGAUCACGGUGUUGUGAUGGUAAUUAACACUGCAAGUCUUGUACAUAACAGUGUUGGUCACAGUAAUAACUUUGCAGCAGGCAUCAUCGUCUGGUUACUCUUUUUUCCCAGUGACAAGUCUGUCUUCCUUAAAUUUCAUAAGAUGGUUGUAUUUCGAUGGUUGAAGCAGGUAUUAUAUUGGUCAGCUAUGUUAUAUGUGUUCUGGAGCUCUCGUAUUAUUUUUUCAAGCUUCUAAGAUAAGUUAAGAUAAUAUUUCAUUCGGAUUUUUAACCCCGGAGGGUUAGCCACUCAGGAUAACUAAGAAAGUCAGUGCGUCAUUGAGGACUGUCUUAUUUCUACUGUGGUCCUCAAUCUUGUCCCCCUGGAUGCCACCCACAACAGUCAACUAACACCCAGGUACCUAUUUUCUGCUAGGUGAACAGGACAACAUGUGUAAGGAAACACGUCGAAAUAUUUCCACCCCAGCCAGGAAUCGAACCCGGACCCUCCGUGUGUGAUGCAAGAGCUUUAGCUACCAGGCCACUGGGGCCGCAUCCUGGGAAAAAACUAACGUAAUUUACCUAAAAUCCUGGGCUUUCUGUGUGUUAGUAUGUCACUGUUGUCCGCUAGGUCUGUAUACCUUGUACGUGUACUGGUAGAACUGGAGAUAUUAUUAUUAAGUAAACUGGGACUGCUAGUAGCUGCAAUCAUUAAUAAAGUUAGAAAUUGGAUUUGUGUGAAUGUUUGAUGAUAUUGUAUGUUCUGAAGUGAACACUGAAGAUCACUUCUCUCUUUGUUCUGGCGUCGUGGCGUGAAAAAUAAUGCAGUCGUCUUCAUUAGUUAACUUCCUGUAAACUUUCAAGGAAACUCUUCAGAACACCAAGAGUAAAGAGGACUUGGCGCAUUAUUUUUCUCACCUGGAACCUGGUCGUGGAGUGAUCAUAUGGUUCUCUCUCAUAGCAAAGGUUUCCAGCUCUGACCAUCUUGAUGAUGAAUGUUGUUAGAUUCAUCAGACAUUCACUCAGUUACAAUAUCCAGAAGAAGAGCACAGGAAAUAUUGACUCAGCUAGGCAGGAACGCUCGUCUGGUAGAUUCUUUGUUCCAGCAGUUGGUGAGGUACCUACCAGCAUCACCAGCACACUUGCUAUGACAAACAUUAAGGUAGCCACGAUGAGCUAGGAGCAACAUUAAGGUAGCCACGAUGAGCUAGGAGCAACAUUAAGGUAGCCACGAUGAGCAAGGAACAACAUUAAGGUAGCCACGAUGAGCUAGGAGCAACAUUAAGGUAGCCACGAUGAGCUAGGAGCAACAUUAAGGUAGCCACGAUGAGCUAGGAGCAACAUUAAGGUAGCCACGAUGAGCUAGGAGCAACAUUAAGGUAGCCACGAUGAGCUAGGAGCAACAUUAAGGUAGCCACGAUGAGCUAGGAGCAACAUUAAGGUAGCCACGAUGAGCUAGGAGCAACAUUAAGGUAGCCACGAUGAGCUAGGAGCAACAUUAAGGUAGCCACGAUGAGCUAGGAGCAACAUUAAGGUAGCCACGAUGAGCUAGGAGCAACAUUAAGGUAGCCACGAUGAGCUAGGAGCAACAUUAAGGUAGCCACGAUGAGCUAGGAGCAACAUUAAGGUAGCCACGAUGAGCUAGGAGCAACAUUAAGGUAGCCACGAUGAGCUAGGAGCAACAUUAAGGUAGCCACGAUGAGCUAGGAGCAACAUUAAGGUAGCCACGAUGAGCUAGGAGCAACAUUAAGGUAGCCACUAUGACAUCUACAAGAUAUGGACUAUGAAGUCAGUGUGAAGGUUGUGAUGAAUGGUUUGAAAAACCGACAAGUUGAAGAUUGAGACA